CUGCAGGAGAAAGCUCAGCUUUGUGCAGUCCAGAAAUCCUGCCUUGAGGUUCACAGGGGCCCAACCCAGCUGCCCCAGAAACACAGAGACGCUCUAGAGCCGCAUGGAACCUCAGCACAAGAACUUCAAAAAGGACAAACCCAGGCGACCCUUGAGCCCGUACUCAAGGCCAGGCAUGCGUACCACAUUCUGUGAGGGCAAACAAUCAGGAAAGGCUAUUCAGGGAGGAAAAGCCAUUGAGAAGAGCCGUGUUGACUCAGCCAGGAAGCGUGAAUGUGGCAUUUCUCAAAGGACAAUCAGCUUGGUUCUCCCGAUUUCAUAAAGUGCAGAGGGAGAGGCCAUGGGCUCAGGUUGGUCUCCACUUAACUGGGGCUCCAUCAUGUGGGACUGCAUCUACCUAGGGCACCUAACUGGACAGCACUUCUUCUCAAGCACCCAAGGGUCUCCUGGGGGUCCUGGCCAAGGUGCCAUCUGCAGGAAAUCUUUGAAAGACACCGUUCUAACCACCCCCUGCACCCCACAUCCUCCUCAACACCUUCAGGAAAGUACCUGUUCUUAGAAUGGUGUGCCAGGCCCUUUUGUUACCCCACACGCCUACCAGGCAGGACUUUGGCAGCCCUAGGUAGAACUUGCAAAUUGGCAGCAUCAUUGGCUCUUAGCUACUGAAAACAUAACAGAGACAAGUCUUGCAACAAGAAAUCAAUAUGAUGGAUAAUAGGCAGGAAAAGCAGCCCCCACAGAAUAAGGGAAGGCCCCAGUGAGUCUAAUUUUCAUUGACCCAGUUUCAUUGUCAAAGCACAGAACAUAGCAAGACAGAGUGACCUCCACACCCAAAAAGCUUCAGACUAUUCUGCAAAUGAAGCCAUCACGGACCAUCUCUCUCUUCGUCCACGAGCCCAUGGAUGUUAACCACCAAUGAGUGAGUGACAAAGAGAAUUCCCACCUUAGAAAGGAGCAGCUGAGUCUGCUAGUCAUUUAAGACAGGGGCAGUGAGUGACGAUGGCUGCACUAGCAUCCUGGGGAGGAAAUUAAAGCAUUCGUCAAGGGCCUGACUCAGGAAAGGGUAGAGGAAUGGAUUAUGUCAGCCACAGGAGACCAAGGUGAAAAUGAGUAAAACGGCUGAACUCCCUCAUUGGGUCAAGGCGAUGGGGAGCAUGGGAUGGCGCAAUGUAGAAGUAAGGCCCCAUGCGAGCUGGGGAAGACAUGGUCGGGAAAACCCAUACCAAAGGCUUCCAUAAACCUCGAGGAAGAGUGUGAAGGUGCAGCUGCUAUCAUUCCCAAUCCAUGCAGUGUGAUGACUUUCCAUUAUACUAAUACACAUUGAAAUAUGUUCACUCUAAGACAAGGCAAUCAUAUAAUCUACUUACAAGACAGAAAUGAUGAAUUGCAAAGUGAAUUCAUUCAGCUCAACAAUCCCCCUUCUGCAAAACCUCCCUCAAGAGGGAUUACUGACUUUCUCCACAGCACAUCUCUUCCCAACCAACUUUGAAUUUCUCACUAAAAAACGGAUGAAUGAAAAGGGGAGAGAGGAGUUGCAGAUGACUCUGAAGAUUUCAAGAAAAGGAGGCAUGGGUUUUUAAAAGCUUGAGGAACACUAGUGUAAAGAGAGAAGAAUGAGGUCAAAUGCUUUGGCAACAUCUUCAUUCAAGAGAGAAGCUGAUAAAGAGAAAACAAGUGAAGGUUGCGGCAGCAGGCGUGGAGAGAAGUUAUCACUAAGCUCAUGGGCCUUGGGAACUGAGUGAUCGUGGUGACCCUGAAGAAGACCAUCGGGAGCAGGCGGCAGAGUCCAAAGGGCGGCCACAGCAGCAUGGCUGGGGUCACAGAACAGGCACCUUCACAUCCUUCCCGUAAGCCUAAGAAAGUGGAGUCCCUGACUUGGCAUUGCACUUUGAAAAUGUCACCCGUAACACAAGAGGGAAGCUGUGGAAAGUACUGAAUACAAUCUUUAGAAAGCAAAGCCUUUUUAGUGAGGAAUGCACAUUUAUUUGACAGUGUUCAGUGUUCAGUGCCCACUGCAAGGCAUUUUGCUAACUGUCAUAUU
rnacentral:lncRNA from 1 species